CAGAACACAGACUGGAAGGCCUCCAGCCUAUGACAUGAAGAAGGGCAACAUGUGACAAAGACUAGAGCUGUCGACCGUGUACAACCUGUGAGGUGAUUUGGAACAGGAAGGGUGACAAAGGAAAAUAAGCUCAUGGCGCAUCAGAGAAAACACCCCAGGGAGACCUACGGAACACAGCAAGGGAAAGCAAGCAUCAAUUCCAUGGGACCCUGAGAACCAACUUCGGUGGAACACUUUUAAAUGCUUCAUCUUUGCUCACAGGCUUCAGAUUUCUCCGUGAAAAGGAGCAGUGCACUCCAUCUGUGAGAAUCUGCUCUGAACAGGAGGAAGCACAUUUAAGUAGCCGAGGGCUCCCUGCUCAUUUUACCAGCAAGGGGUGCGUUCUCACGAAGGGCUCCAGAAUCACAUCAGAGUCCUGUCACCAACUCUACCCAUGGGAUAAAAGCAUAAGCAAUUGUUGAAGGGUUGCAGCAUUAGGAAGACUGACAGCCACCUCUCUGAAGUGUCAGCCUGACAGGAAUGGAAUCACCUAAGAGACAAACCUCUCCACUUGUCUGUGAGGAUGCUUCCAGAAGAGUUAAACUGAAGAGAGAAGGCGCACCCUGACUCUGGGCAGUACCGUGCCAAGGGCCGAGGACCAUGACUGAAUAAAACGGAUCCGGUUGGUGAGCACGGGGAUUCAGCUCUCUGCUUCUUGCUGGUUCCUGAUUCCUGACAUCCUACUUCCAUCCUUCCCCAACCACCAGCCACUGGCAGCAUCCUCAAGUGCUGGCUCUCCUGUGACUCCAGCUAGCACCGAUGUGAUACCCCAGAGGAGCCUAGCAGCCUCAGGUAAACCCAGACAUCUCCCAGCAUUCAUAGUUCUAUCUGUGGACUCAUCUAAAUAGACCUCUAACAUGUCUCACCCUAGGCUGCACAUUGUUUUCAGGUAUCCUGGUUAUUCUUACUCAUUAUUUCUUCCCAAUAAAUUCUAUAACCAAUGACUUCAGCCCCAUGGCAGGGGUCUGUGGGAAUCUUCAUUAGGGCUAUGCUGAAUGUGCACACGAGCGACCUGUUGGCUCCUUUCUCACAGCUCACAUCUGUUUUUCCAUCUACGGCUGUUCUGCUUUUUUUGUUUUUUUAGGAGUGUUUGGUGACUCUCUUCAUGCGUGUGGCAGACACUCCCGAAGUUCAUUUUUGGCUAUUUUAUUCUGUCCAUCCUGCCUACUGCUGUCAAAAAUGAAAUCUCAUUAUAUUUUCUGUCUCAUCUCAGAUCUGUCAUAUACAAAAUGUACAGAGUGGGUUUUUGUAACUGGCCUCUUUUGAUUAGCAUAAUGGCUUUGAGGCACACCUAUGCUGUAGCACCUUCAUUAUGUCUCUGAAAUUAUCUACCCCU